AUGACUCAGUCUGUCUCCCUCCACAGCAGUGUGUGUGUGUUGUGUGGUGUGUGUUGUGUGUGUGUGUGUGUGUGUGGUGGUGGGUGUGUGUGUGUGACUGGGAGACUCGUUAUUAUGACUCAAGUCUGUCUCCCUCCUACAGCAGUGUGUUGUGUGUGUGUGUGUGUGUGUGUGUGUGUGUGUGUGUGUGUGGUUGUGGUUGUGUGUGUGUGUUGUGUGUGUGUACGGCGUGCCUGUGCCGUGUGUACAUGCGUGCAUGCGUGGGUGUGUAGGAGACUUGAAGGGGAGAACAUAUCCCAGCAGGUCUGAUGGCUGUCUGCAGAGUAGUGAUUGGGUUUAGGAUUCUUCAUGGGUUUUAAUUCAUGCAAAUGAAUAGCAGCCUGUCAUUAGUGGCGGCAGCCCAGUAUUACUGAUGAAAACACUGUCAUUACAUAGUUCCCUGUGUGUGGGCCUGACUGACACCCUUAUCCUUACACACAAUGUUCUAUAUAAGCAGAUUCAUUGUGUCAGAGAUCAUGUAAAGCCACUGCCAGUGGUGGGAAGUCUCUCAAUGCAAAACAUUCUGUUAACCUGAAAGGCAGUCUAGGAUAUAUACAUUUUUACAUCCCAUUAUAUACCAUAUAUUAUAAACUGGGUGGUUCAAGCCCUGAAUGCUGAUUGGCUGACAGCCGUGGUAUAUCAGACCGUAUACCACUGGUAUGACAAAACAUUUAUUUGUACUGCUUUAAUUCCGUUGAUAACCGGUUUGAUAAUAGCAAUAAGGCACCGCGUUGCGUUGUGCCUUAGAACAGCCCUUAGCCGUGGUAUAUUGGCCAUAUACCACACCUCCUCGGGCCUUAUUGCUUAAUUAUACUAGGGCUGUGACGAUACCAGUAUCGCAAUAUUUCUUUCAUGGCAAAGAUGUAGCUAUGCAUGACAAACAGAACACAACAUCAUGACAGCAUGGCCAUGCACAUUAAGGAAGUCAUCAGUUUGUUUUAAAGACACACACACUGCAGUAAUACUCACACACCUCUGGUGGCUAUAGGGAGAGCAAACACAAGAUAUACAACAACACACACACACACAGGUGCAGAACCACACAACACAACCACAGGCAGUCAGACACAUCAUGCCAUCAUCAGAGCAAGCAGCAGGCAGGAUGAGAGAGAAGGGAGAGAUACAAUGGGAAGACAGGAGAGAGAGACAGAGAGUAGAGCGGAUGAAUAGAGGAUCAGAAAAGGUGUGCUUGGAACAGGCAGGCUGACAGCAAGCAGAGCAAGGAGGCAGGCGAAGGAGGAGGAGAGGAAGGAGGCAGGAGAAGGAGGAGGAGAGGAAGGAGGCAGGAGAAGGAGGAGGAGAGGAAGGAGGCAGGAGAAGGAGGAGGAGAGGCAGGAGGCAGGAGAAGGAGGAGGAGAGGAACGAGGCAGGAGAAGGAGGGGGAGAAGAAGGAGGAUAGAUACCUACCCAGCACCCAGCCAGCAUCUAUCUAGCUGUUGGCAGGUGGACUGGUCUGGGCUGGACUAGAACCUGCUGUCUCACUGGGACAUGGAGACCCAGACCCACACGCCUGGAGAGAGGGAUGGAGGAGGGGGAGGAGAGGAGAAAGAAGAGCAGGGAAGUAAGGGAAGAAAGAAAAAGAUAAAAAGUUGUAGGUAAAAUCAGGAUAAGAAAAUAGGAGAAUACAGGCAGCAAAGGGACAGAGUAGCAGUGUACUAAAGGACAGAAAGAAUGGACAAACCCACACACACUGAGCUGUUCUAAAAGUCCCCUCUAUUGAUUCGUGAAACAUUUCUGCUCUUUACACUAACUCCCUCACCACAGAGUGGGAGGCUGCUUCUCGCUAUCUCCCUCUCUCUGUUCCUCUCUCUCCCCCCUCUCUCUCUCAGUUCCUCUCUCUCUCUCCCCUCUCUCUCCCCCUCUCUCUCUCUCACUCUUAUUUGAGUUUUGUUCCAUAGCAAUAUGGAAAAAUAUCUAGAUCCCCCAGGUUCAGCUGAGUUACCCCUCUGUCAGAGAGAGAGAGGAGAGAUACUUGGGAAUAAACGGUCAACAGAAUCAAUGGUAGAAAGCAUAGCCUCCAAUUCAGUUCUUUCACCAUUGUCAGGUUGGUGACUCCAGUGCUUUCAUUCGGGAAUAGUCUCUUCCCAUUCCUCUCUCUUCUCACUUAUCUCUCUCUCUCUCUCUCUCUCUCGCUCUAUCUAUAGCUCUCUCUCUCUCUAUAUAUCUCUCUAUCUCUCUCUCUCUCUCUCUUGCUUCGCGACUCGCUUCUCUCUCUCUCUCUCUAUUGAUAUCUCUCUCUCUCUCUCUCUCUCUAUCUCUUCUCCUCUCUUUCUCUCUCUCUCUCUCCUCUCUCUCUCUCUUCUCUCUCUCUCUCUCUCUCUCUC
rnacentral:lncRNA from 1 species